rnacentral:rRNA from 1 species
UACGAAGGGAGCUAGCGUUGUCCGGAUUUACUGGGCGUAAAGAGCGCGCAGGCGGUCGGAUAAGUCGAAUGUGAAAGCCCCUGGCUCAACCGGGGAACUGCACGGGAAACUAGCAGGCUUGAGUUCGGGAGAGGGAAGCGGAAUUUCGGGUGUAGCGGUGAAAUGCGUAGAGAUCGUAAGGAAGGCCAGUGGCGAAGGCGAGUUCCUGGACAGUUACUGACGCUGAGGCACGAAGGCCAGGGGAGCAAACGGGG